rnacentral:tRNA from 1 species
AUCCUGUUAGUAUAACGGUAUAGUUGGUUUCGGCCCAACAGGUUGGUAAGGUAAAGUUUAGAUUU